rnacentral:rRNA from 1 species
UCGGGAAUUUUGGGCAAUGGGCGAAAGCCUGACGCAGCCAUGCCGCGUGGAUGAUGAAGGUCUUAGGAUUGUAAAAUCCUUUCACCGGUGAAGAUAAUGACUGUAGCCGGAGAAGAAGCCCCGGCUAACUUCGUGCCAGCAGCCGCGGUAAUACGAAGGGGGCUAGCGUUGCUCGGAAUUACUGGGCGUAAAGGGAGCGUAGGCGGACAUUUAAGUCAGGGGUGAAAUCCCAGAGCUCAACUCUGGAACUGCCUUUGAUACUGGGUGUCUUGAGUGUGAUAGAGGUAUGUGGAACUCCGAGUGUAGAGGUGAAAUUCGUAGAUAUUCGGAAGAACACCAGUGGCGAAGGCGACAUACUGGAUCAUUACUGACGCUGAGGCUCGAAAGCGUGGGGAGCAAACAGGAUUAGAUACCCUUGUAGUCCCUGAG